UAAGCGCAGCGAUGCGUUGAGCUAACCGGUACUAAUGAACCGUGAGGCUUAACCUUACAACGCCGAAGGUGUUU
rnacentral:rRNA from 1 species